CCCUUAGAUGUUCUGGGCCGCACGCGCGCUACACUGACGAAUGCAACGAGCUUAUAACCUUGGCCGAAAGGUCUGGGUAAACUCCAAAUUUCGUCGUGAUGGGGAUAGAUUAUUGCAAUUAUUAAUCUUCAACGAGGAAUGCCUAGUAAGCGCAAGUCAUCAGCUUGCGUUGAUUACGUCCCUGCCCUUUGUACACACCGCCCGUCGCUCCUACCGAUUGAAUGGUCCGGUGAAGCGUUCGGACCGUGGCCUUUGGACGGUUCGCCGUCUGUUGGCUGCGGGAAGUUCGUUAAACCUUAUCAUUUAGAGGAAGGAGAAGUCGUAACA
rnacentral:rRNA from 1 species